rnacentral:lncRNA from 1 species
AGUAUGACUUUUUUUUGCUCUUUUGUUCUCCAUGGGGUGGCUAUGUUGGCUUUCUUUCUGAGUUCCCAAGGAGCCAGUCACUGGUGAGGGGUCUUUAUCUUAACGCUAUGGAGAUGGCCACUGCCUCUUUUGCUCAAGGGGAUGACAAGUAUAUAUGUUGCACCAAGCGGGAAUCAGAAGCAUGCGAAAACUGGUGUUGGGCAUCUGAUUGUUAGUGGCAUGGAUUUUUCUGGUAAGCAUAGUUUUUGUAUCAAGGAUUUUGUUGAGAAGGCGGAGGAGACUAGCCUUGAGGGGUCUCCAAGAUCUCCCUAAUAAUUCUCCUAUGGAACGUUAGUUGGCUUGGCAACCGAUGAACGUUCCUAUUAUGAAGAUCUUUCUUUGGAAUUUUCUUUAGGCUAAGAGGCCAAUCUUGGUCUCCCUUACUUGUCAGCUUGGGUCUGGAUCAAGAAAAUUGGAGGUGGUGGUUGGUGUUUGGCUGGAUCUGUUAUGAUGCUCACAAUACAUUUUUGACUCUGUACAAAGAACUAUGUUGCUUUCUUUAGAUCAUAUGAGGCUUUCUUUGACAGUAUCUGCGUAGUGAUGGGAUGUGUUUCAAUGGUUUUGCGGUUGGGUGAUUAGCUGGAUCUAUUGUGAUAUCCAUAGUAUGUUUUUGACUCUGUACGAAGAACUAUGAUACUUUUUCUAAAUCAUAGGAGGACUUCUUUAACAGUACCUACAUAUUUAUGAGAUGUUGUUUUAAGGGUUUUGUGGUUGAGGUUUAGGUUGGUUUGUUUUGUAUAAGUUGUUUGACUCUUCUGUUUAGUCAAUA